rnacentral:rRNA from 1 species
GAUGAACGCUGGCGGCGUGCCUAAUACAUGCAAGUCGAGCGAACGGACGAGAAGCUUGCUUCUCUGAUGUUAGCGGCGGACGGGUGAGUAACACGCGGAUAACCUACCUAUAAGACUGGGAUAACUUCGGGAAACCGGAGCUAAUACCGGAUAAUAUUUUGAACCGCAUGGUUCAAAAGUGAAAGACGGUCUUGCUGUCACUUAUAGAUGGAUCCGCGCUGCAUUAGCUAGUUGGUAAGGUAACGGCUUACCAAGGCAACGAUGCAUAGCCGACCUGAGAGGGUGAUCGGCCACACUGGAACUGAGACACGGUCCAGACUCCUACGGGAGGCAGCAGUAGGGAAUCUUCCGCAAUGGGCGAAAGCCUGACGGAGCAACGCCGCGUGAGUGAUGAAGGUCUUCGGAUCGUAAAACUCUGUUAUUAGGGAAGAACAUAUGUGUAAGUAACUGUGCACAUCUUGACGGUACCUAAUCAGAAAGCCACGGCUAACUACGUGCCAGCAGCCGCGGUAAUACGUAGGUGGCAAGCGUUAUCCGGAAUUAUUGGGCGUAAAGCGCGCGUAGCGGUUUUUUAAGUCUGAUGUGAAAGCCCACGGCUCAACCGUGGAGGGUCAUUGGAAACUGGAAAACUUGAGUGCAGAAGAGGAAAGUGGAAUUCCAUGUGUAGCGGUGAAAUGCGCAGAGAUAUGGAGGAACACCAGUGGCGAAGGCGACUUUCUGGUCUGUAACUGACGCUGAUGUGCGAAAGCGUGGGGAUCAAACAGGAUUAGAUACCCUGGUAGUCCACGCCGUAAACGAUGAGUGCUAAGUGUUAGGGGGUUUCCGCCCCUUAGUGCUGCAGCUAACGCAUUAAGCACUCCGCCUGGGGAGUACGACCGCAAGGUUGAAACUCAAAGGAAUUGACGGGGACCCGCACAAGCGGUGGAGCAUGUGGUUUAAUUCGAAGCAACGCGAAGAACCUUACCAAAUCUUGACAUCCUUUGACAACUCUAGAGAUAGAGCUUUCCCCUUCGGGGGACAAAGUGACAGGUGGUGCAUGGUUGUCGUCAGCUCGUGUCGUGAGAUGUUGGGUUAAGUCCCGCAACGAGCGCAACCCUUAAGCUUAGUUGCCAUCAUUAAGUUGGGCACUCUAAGUUGACUGCCGGUGACAAACCGGAGGAAGGUGGGGAUGACGUCAAAUCAUCAUGCCCCUUAUGAUUUGGGCUACACACGUGCUACAAUGGACAAUACAAAGGGCAGCGAAACCGCGAGGUCAAGCAAAUCCCAUAAAGUUGUUCUCAGUUCGGAUUGUAGUCUGCAGCUCGACUACAUGAAGCUGGAAUCGCUAGUAAUCGUAGAUCAGCAUGCUACGGUGAAUACGUUCCCGGGUCU